rnacentral:rRNA from 1 species
AUUGAACGCUGGCGGCAUGGAUUAGGCAUGCAAGUCGAGCGAGAAGUGUAGCAAUACACGGAAAGCGGCGGAAGGGAGAGUAAUACGUGGGAAUCUGCCCUUAGACCUGGGAUAGCAGCGGGAAACUGCUGGUAAUACCAGAUAAUGUCUAUGGACCAAAGGUGUGAUUCCGUCUAGGGAUGAGCCCACGUCCUAUUAGCUAGUUGGUAGGGUAAUGGCCUACCAAGGCGAUGAUGGGUAGCGGGUGUGAGAGCAUGACCCGGCUCACUGGGACUGAUACACUGCCCAGACACCUACGGGUGGCUGCAGUCGAGAAUCUUCGGCAAUGGGCGCAAGCCUGACCGAGCGAUGCCGCGUGCGGGAUGAAGGCCUUCGGGUUGUAAACCGCUGUCGAGGGGGAGCAACUUCCAUAGAGUUAUCUUUAUGGAUUGAGUGAUCCCUGGAGGAAGGACGGGCUAAGUUCGUGCCAGCCGCCGCAGUAAGAC